rnacentral:rRNA from 1 species
AUUGAACGCUGGCGGCAGGCCUAACACAUGCAAGUCGAGCGAGCGGCGGAAGGGUGAGUAAUGUAUGGGGACUGCCCGAUAGAGGGGGAUAACUACUGGAAACGGUGGCUAAUACCGCAUACUAUCGGAUAACCCAUAUGGGAUUAGCUAGUAGGUGGGGUAAAGGCUCACCUAGGCGACGAUCUCUAGCUGGUCUGAGAGGAUGAUCAGCCGCACUGGGACGGAGACACGGCCCAGACUCCUACGGAGGCAGCAGUGGGGAAUAGGGCCGUAUGGGCGCAGGCCUGAUGCAACCAUGCCGCGUGUAUGAAGAAGGCCUUAUGGUUGUAAAGUACUUUCAGCGGGGAGGCGUUACCCGCAGAAGAAGCACCGGCUAACUCCGUGCCAGCAGCCGCGGUAAUUC